AUUGAACGCUGGCGGAGUGCUUUACACAUGCAAGUCGAGCGGCAGCACGGGGGCAACCCUGGUGGCGAGCGGCGAACGGGUGAGUAAUACAUCGGAACAUGCCCAGUCGUGGGGGAUAACACUUCGAAAGAAGUGCUAAUACCGCAUACGUCCUGAGGGAGAAAGCGGGGGAUCUUCGGACCUCGCGCGAUUGGAGUGGCCGAUGUCAGAUUAGCUAGUUGGUGGGGUAAAGGCCUACCAAGGCAACGAUCUGUAGCUGGUCUGAGAGGAUGCUCGGCCCCACUGGGACUGAGAAACGGCCCAGACUCCUACGGGAGGCAGCAGUGGGGAAUUUUGGACAAUGGGGGCAACCCUGAUCCAGCCAUUCCGCGUGAGUGAAGAAGGCCUUCGGGUUGUAAAGCUCUUUCGGCAGGAACGAAACGGCGAGCUCUAACAUAGCUUGCUAAUGACGGUACCUGAAGAAGAAGCACCGGCUAACUACGUGCCAGCCGCCGCCGUAACAC
rnacentral:rRNA from 1 species